GGGUUGUGAGGUUAAGCGACUAAGCGUACACGGUGGAUGCCCUGGCAGUCAGAGGCGAUGAAGGACGUGCUAAUCUGCGAAAAGCGUCGGUAAGGUGAUAUGAACCGUUAUAACCGGCGAUGUCCGAAUGGGGAAACCCAGUGCAAUUCGUUGCACUAUCGUUAACUGAAUACAUAGGUUAACGAGGCGAACCGGGGGAACUGAAACAUCUAAGUACCCCGAGGAAAAGAAAUCAACCGAGAUUCCCCCAGUAGCGGCGAGCGAACGGGGAGCAGCCCAGAGUCUGAAUCAGCUUGUGUGUUAGUGGAACGGUCUGGAAAGUCCGACGGUACAGGGUGAUAGUCCCGUACACCAAAAUGCACAGGUUGUGAACUCGAAGAGUAGGGCGGGACACGUGGUAUCCUGUCUGAAUAUGGGGGGACCAUCCUCCAAGGCUAAAUACUCCUGACUGACCGAUAGUGAACCAGUACCGUGAGGGAAAGGCGAAAAGAACCCCGGCGAGGGGAGUGAAAAAGAACCUGAAACCGUGUACGUACAAGCAGUGGGAGCACCUUCGGGUGUGACUGCGUACCUUUUGUAUAAUGGGUCAGCGACUUAUAUUCUGUAGCAAGGUUAACCGUAUAGGGGAGCCGCAGGGAAACCGAGUCUUAACUGGGCGUUAAGUUGCAGGGUAUAGACCCGAAACCCGGUGAUCUAGCCAUGGGCAGGUUGAAGGUUGGGUAACACUAACUGGAGGACCGAACCGACUAAUGUUGAAAAAUUAGCGGAUGACUUGUGGCUGGGGGUGAAAGGCCAAUCAAACCGGGAGAUAGCUGGUUCUCCCCGAAAGCUAUUUAGGUAGCGCCUCGUGAACUCAUCUUCGGGGGUAGAGCACUGUUUCGGCUAGGGGGUCAUCCCGACUUACCAACCCGAUGCAAACUACGAAUACCGAAGAAUGUUAUCACGGGAGACACACGGCGGGUGCUAACGUCCGUCGUGAAGAGGGAAACAACCCAGACCGCCAGCUAAGGUCCCAAAGUCAUGGUUAAGUGGGAAACGAUGUGGGAAGGCACAGACAGCCAGGAUGUUGGCUUAGAAGCAGCCAUCAUUUAAAGAAAGCGUAAUAGCUCACUGGUCGAGUCGGCCUGCGCGGAAGAUGUAACGGGGCUAAACCAUGCACCGAAGCUGCGGCAGCGACACUAUGUGUUGUUGGGUAGGGGAGCGUUCUGUAAGCCUGCGAAGGUGUGCUGUGAGGCAUGCUGGAGGUAUCAGAAGUGCGAAUGCUGACAUAAGUAACGAUAAAGCGGGUGAAAAGCCCGCUCGCCGGAAGACCAAGGGUUCCUGUCCAACGUUAAUCGGGGCAGGGUGAGUCGACCCCUAAGGCGAGGCCGAAAGGCGUAGUCGAUGGGAAACAGGUUAAUAUUCCUGUACUUGGUGUUACUGCGAAGGGGGGACGGAGAAGGCUAUGUUAGCCGGGCGACGGUUGUCCCGGUUUAAGCAUGUAGGCUGGUUGUCCAGGCAAAUCCGGAUAAUCAAGGCUGAGGUGUGAUGACGAGGCACUACGGUGCUGAAGUAACAAAUGCCCUGCUUCCAGGAAAAGCCUCUAAGCAUCAGGUAACAUUAAAUCGUACCCCAAACCGACACAGGUGGUCAGGUAGAGAAUACCAAGGCGCUUGAGAGAACUCGGGUGAAGGAACUAGGCAAAAUGGUGCCGUAACUUCGGGAGAAGGCACGCUGGUGUGUAGGUGAAGUCCCUGCGGAUGGAGCUGAGACCAGUCGAAGAUACCAGCUGGCUGCAACUGUUUAUUAAAAACACAGCACUGUGCAAACACGAAAGUGGACGUAUACGGUGUGACGCCUGCCCGGUGCCGGAAGGUUAAUUGAUGGGGUUAUCCGUAAGGAGAAGCUCUUGAUCGAAGCCCCGGUAAACGGCGGCCGUAACUAUAACGGUCCUAAGGUAGCGAAAUUCCUUGUCGGGUAAGUUCCGACCUGCACGAAUGGCGUAAUGAUGGCCAGGCUGUCUCCACCCGAGACUCAGUGAAAUUGAACUCGCUGUGAAGAUGCAGUGUACCCGCGGCAAGACGGAAAGACCCCGUGAACCUUUACUAUAGCUUGACACUGAACAUUGAGCCUUGAUGUGUAGGAUAGGUGGGAGGCUUUGAAGCGUGGACGCCAGUCUGCGUGGAGCCAACCUUGAAAUACCACCCUUUAAUGUUUGAUGUUCUAACGUUGGCCCCUUACCGGGGUUGCGGACAGUGUCUGGUGGGUAGUUUGACUGGGGCGGUCUCCUCCCAAAGCGUAACGGAGGAGCACGAAGGUUAGCUAAUCCUGGUCGGACAUCAGGAGGUUAGUGCAAUGGCAUAAGCUAGCUUGACUGCGAGCGUGACGGCGCGAGCAGGUGCGAAAGCAGGUCAUAGUGAUCCGGUGGUUCUGAAUGGAAGGGCCAUCGCUCAACGGAUAAAAGGUACUCCGGGGAUAACAGGCUGAUACCGCCCAAGAGUUCAUAUCGACGGCGGUGUUUGGCACCUCGAUGUCGGCUCAUCACAUCCUGGGGCUGAAGUAGGUCCCAAGGGUAUGGCUGUUCGCCAUUUAAAGUGGUACGCGAGCUGGGUUUAGAACGUCGUGAGACAGUUCGGUCCCUAUCUGCCGUGGGCGCUGGAGAAUUGAGGGGGGCUGCUCCUAGUACGAGAGGACCGGAGUGGACGCAUCACUGGUGUUCGGGUUGUCAUGCCAAUGGCACUGCCCGGUAGCUAAAUGCGGAAGAGAUAAGUGCUGAAAGCAUCUAAGCACGAAACUUGCCCCGAGAUGAGUUCUCCCUGAGACUUUAAGUCUCCUGAAGGAACGUUGAAGACGACGACGUUGAUAGGCCGGGUGUGUAAGCGCAGCGAUGCGUUGAGCUAACCGGUACUAAUGAACCGUGAGGCUUAACCUUACAACGCCGAAG
rnacentral:rRNA from 2 species